rnacentral:rRNA from 1 species
UACGAGUAACCGUUGGGUUCCACACAUAUGGGGAUGAAGGGGUUCUACACACGACGACACUCCGUACAUCGUGGUGAAGAGGACUGACGAUAUUAGUCACCUUCUAGAGUACUGUACCGCAGUACCAGAGUACCUUACCUGUAGUACCCCGAAUAAUCCUUGAGACUCAAAUCGCCCGUGGUACGGCUUUCCCAAGAGCUUCAGGAGGGAGAGUAACUGUCCUAUAUACCUGAACCAAUACGUGACUUAGUAACACCUCCUAGAGUCCCCCGUCUACUACAAAGUAUACGAUCUGACUUUCAGGUGUCCAAAUGAGUACAGUAGACAAAAAACAACAAACUCCCUUCAACCUUUUGUUUUCGGCCCUCUUCAUACAGGGGAGGCAGGAGGAGGACGCUGCGCGCAGUGCUCUCUUUGGGAACGCGGCGGCGGCGGCCCUGGGGGAGGAGGAGGGGAAGAGGGGAGGGGACGGCGGCGGACGCUCGUUCCGGCCCGCUUCGGGCCAGCCGAGGCCACCACACACACACCCCCCCAGAAGGGAAGUGGCACACCGGCGCACACCGCGUCCUACCGCACCGGCCGCUUCCGCGGUACGCUCAUCCCCCGUGCUGCUGCACCGUAGACUCACACCCCACCGCUGCGGACCGGUCCACGAGCAUGCCCACCGAGAUGCCGCCCCCACCGACGCUACAACGGCCGCCGACGCAAACACGCGCGGGUCUAGACCGUCGCCGACGCGGGCGCGCAACGCGACCGAGUCGCCACCGGACCCACCGAGCCGUGCGCGCCCUCGAGCCGCCCGCCGCCGAACCCAGCGGCGACGUGGAGCAGUAGGCCGACACACCAGUGACCACCACCUAUCGCCGGCGACCACUCUAAGUAGAACAGGUCGGUGCCGCGUCCCGACCUGGAAAGGGUCACUACCGGUGUCAACUCCCUACCUAGGCUGCGGCCCUCCCGGUGCCUUGGUAGGAACGGAGGACAGUCCACCGCGUGGCCCCUCGAGCAGGAACGUACCGGACCGCCCUACCCCGCCACCGCCGGCUCACGCCGGCCGGGCCCCCACCCGGAGCCUGGACCCCUGGCAGGUUCCCGUCCCUUCCUCCACGGAAGGGCGGGCAGAGAAACGGACAGUACCGACGUUCGAAGCCAUCCCCUACCACAGCCCUGGUACCCACAACCCCGCCGCCGGGACCUCCCACGCUGUUGGCCUCCCCAUCCAGGCCGUCCGGACCAAACAACACGGAGCGGAGCCCCCGACACUCCUGAAGGGCCCCACUUUUGGACGAAACCGAGACGGUUCGGCUGCCGCUGCAGCGGAUACCCGCCUUGGAGGAAGAACUUCCGCAGCAGCGCCGAGGAUAUGUACGAGGCUAACGAGGCUUCCUUUGGAACUAGAACCCUAGCCCGCCACCACUAUGAGGACACAGUAGGUGGAAGUGGCUGUCGUGCGCGAACAGACACUGGAGGGUGGUCGUCGCGGAACUCCAGUGGGUGUUUUCGCUGGUUCGUUAAGGUGCAACAGUGGGAGAUGAUGAAGUGGUUGCUGUAGCUCCUCCAGCACCAACCAUGACGGCCGCCUACGUAGGUAGACGAUUAGAGGACCGUGGCGCAUCUGCCUCGGUUUGCUCAACCCCGGAGGUCGGCCGACCAUCACCUGUUGUUGUGGCCCGUAGCUUAAGACGGGUUUCAAACAGCGUCGUGAACACCAGUCGCCGCUCCUACUCGUGGGUGUGGGCGAGGAACAACGGCCGGAGACGUAGGAGGAGGGAGCUUCGCCCAGAUACGCCCCUCAACUAGAUC